rnacentral:rRNA from 1 species
CCUACGGGGUGCAGCAGGCGCGAAAACUUUACAAUGCGGGAAACCGUGAUAAGGGAACUCCGAGUGUCCGUAAAUGCGGACUGUCCGUCUGUUUAAAAAGCAGGCGAAGAAAGGGCCGGGCAAGACCGGUGCCAGCCGCCGCGGUAAUACCGGCGGCUCGAGUGGUGGCCACUAUUACUGGGCUUAAAGCGUUCGUAGCUGGGUCGUUAAGUCUCUUGGGAAAUCUACCGGCUUAACCGAUAGGCGUCCAAGGGAUACUGGCGAUCUAGGGACCGGGAGAGGUGAGGGGUACUUCAGGGGUAGGAGUGAAAUCCUGUAAUCCUUGGGGGACCACCUGUGGCGAAGGCGCCUCACCAGAACGGCUCCGACAGUGAGGGACGAAAGCUGGGGGAGCAAACCGGAUUAGAUACCCGAGUAGUCC